CCUGCUCCUAGAGGCAGGGCCGGUGUGGCUGCUGUGUCACACGUGCGUCAGAAGGUGUUGGAGAGGAAAGAGGCUAUGCCUAUGCUCAGUGUUCUGACGUAAGAACAUCGAGCCUGAGAUGACCACCAGG
rnacentral:snoRNA from 1 species